AUUGAACGCUGGCGGCAGGCCUAACACAUGCAAGUCGAGCGGAUGAAGGGAGCUUGCUCCUGGAUUCAGCGGCGGACGGGUGAGUAAUGCCUAGGAAUCUGCCUGGUAGUGGGGGAUAACGUCCGGAAACGGGCGCUAAUACCACAUACGUCCUGAGGGAGAAAGUGGGGGAUCUUCGGACCUCACGCUAUCAGAUGAGCCUAGGUCGGAUUAGCUAGUUGGUGGGGUAAAGGCCUACCAAGGCGACGAUCCGUAACUGGUCUGAGAGGAUGAUCAGUCACACUGGAACUGAGACACGGUCCAGACUCCUACGGGAGGCAGCAGUGGGGAAUAUUGGACAAUGGGCGAAAGCCUGAUCCAGCCAUGCCGCGUGUGAAGAAGGUCUUCGGAUUGUAAAGCACUUUAAGUUGGGAGGAAGGGCAGUAAGUUAAUACCUUGCUGUUUUGACGUUACCAACAGAAUAAGCACCGGCUAACUUCGUG
rnacentral:rRNA from 1 species